UCCUUUUCCCUUCUCUCCCGGGACCGCGACCGGGACCGCGUUCUCCUGACCUUGGGUGGGGACGCCGGCUCUUUGUGCCGGCGCCUCCUGGGUGACUCCCACCCGUACCUGAUCUCCUCGAGCUCCAUGCGCAGUCUAUCCUCGUCGUCCCAUUCCUCGUUGGCCCUUACUUCCUCCGAAUACCGGUCGCGGGAGUGAUGUCGCGCCGGCUGGUACUCCUCCGCCGCCCGCUCGGGUCGCUUAGAGCUCUCCCCUACUUGGUAUUCGCUCCUCGUCAUCCUUCUCUCUCCGG
rnacentral:lncRNA from 1 species